GAGCCUGUGCAGAACAUUCAGGAUGAAGGGAUGAGCCAGCAGGUGGCUGUAGAUGGCAGCGGCUGCCUGGAAUGGGGCAGGUCCCAGGAUGCCAGAGAAAACCCGGGGUAGGCUCACAAGAACGGUCUCCAGCAUGUCACUGUGGAGGGAUGGGAUGCAGAUGCUGCAGAUUUCUGCUGGACAUGGACACAGCAGCAAUAAAAACAACAUCCCUGAUUUGGCAAAAGAAACCACAAAGGCCAGUAAGAAGAGAAAGGACAUUUGUGCUUCUGAUAUCCUGAGACUGUGGUGGCAAUAA
rnacentral:lncRNA from 1 species